rnacentral:rRNA from 1 species
GAUGAACGCUAGCGACAGGCUUAACACAUGCAAGUCGAGGGGCAGCGAGGGAGUGCUUGCACUUCUGUCGGCGACCGGCGCACGGGUGAGUAACACGUAUGCAACCUGCCCUUGUCAGGGGGAUAAGCGAGGGAAACCUCGUCUAAUACCGCAUAUAUGAUUUAGAGGCAUCUUUUAAUCAGGAAAGAAUUAUCGGACAAGGAUGGGCAUGCGGGACAUUAGGUAGUUGGGGGGUGUAACGGACCACCAAGCCGACGAUGUCUAGGGGUUCUGAGAGGAAGGUCCCCCACACUGGUACUGAGACACGGACCAGACUCCUACGGGAGGCAGCAGUGAGGAAUAUUGGUCAAUGGGCGAGAGCCUGAACCAGCCAAGUCGCGUGAGGGACGACGGUACUAAGUAUUGUAAACCUCUUUUGUCAGGGAACAAAGAGACCACGUGCGGUAAGAUGAGUGUACCUGAAGAAAAAGCAUCGGCUAACUCCGUGCCAGCAGCCGACGG